rnacentral:rRNA from 1 species
GAUGAACGCUGGCGGCGUGCCUAAUACAUGCAAGUCGAACGAACAGACGAGGAUCUUGCUCCUCUGACGUUAGCGGCGCACGUGUGAGUAACACGUGUAUAACCUACCUAUAAUACUGGUAUAACUUCGGGAAACCUGCUCUAAUACCGGAUAAUCUAUUGAUCCGCAGGGUUCAGUAGUAAAGGGCUGUUUUGCUGUCACUUAUAGAUGCGUCCGCGCCGCAUGAGCUAGUGGGUAAGGUAACGGCUUACCAAGGCAACUAUGCGUAGACGACCUGAGAGGCUGAUCGGGCGCCCUGUAACAGAGACACGGUCCAGCCUCCUACGGGCGGCCGCAGUAGGGCAUCUUCCGCAAUUGGCGAAAGCCUGCAGGAGCGACGCCGCGUGAGUGCUGAAGGGCUUCGGAUCGUAAAACUCUGUUAUUAGGGAAGAAAAAAUGUGUACGUAACUAUGCACGUCUUGACGGUACCUAAUAAGAAAGCCACGGCUAACUACGUG